UACAGAGGUCCCAAGCGUUGUUCGGAUUUACUGGGCGUAAAGGGUGCGUAGGCGGCAUGGAAAGUUCGGGGUGAAAUCUCCAGGCUCAACUUGGAAACUGCCCUGAAUACUUCCUUGCUUGAGGGCCGCAGAGGAGAUUGGAAUUCUCGGUGUAGCAGUGAAAUGCGUAGAUAUCGAGAGGAACAUCAGUGGCGAAAGCGAAUCUCUAGGCGGCAUCUGACGCUGAGGCACGAAAGCCAGGGGAGCAAACGGG
rnacentral:rRNA from 1 species